CACUCCAGCAACAUUCCCAUUGACUUCCCGGGGAGUUUUGUCAGGUUGAGGGCCGGCCGGCGGAUCGGGCCUGCUACGUUGUAGCACAGAUGGGAUGUCACCAUGAGGUAGCCCCCGUUGGAGGAUCCUAAUUCCCCUGGCUACAACUGGCGUGCUGCCGGGGGUGGCGGGGUGGGAGGAGCGCCGCCUCGGCCCCUGCAUUUCUGACAGGCAAACCCGACCCCGGAUUAGCAAAUCCGUGCCAGGACCAGCCGGCCCCUCCCCAGCCUCCCGCUUCGCCUUCGGCCCAGGGAUGUGCCAUGGACCAGCCUUGGCUUCCCGCUCUGCAACCGAGCCGCUGCGGCGACCACCCGGCUUGCGCGGGGGAAGUCGCUGCCGCCGCUAAUGCUCCCAGCCCCGCCGCCUUUGAUGUGCCCAGCGGCGGGUCCCCGGCCGCCCUUGCAGCAGGAAAGCGGCAGCAGGCAUCUCCCCCCCGUUAGCCGAGCUCGCGGACGGAGGGAGAACCCAGCCGCAGGCCGCCAACCAGCGGGGGAGCCACAGCUCGCCUCCUGCUGCCCGAGCAGGUUAGAAGCGCUGCGGAGGUGUCCUCUUGUCCCCUGCCUACUAUGUGCAGAGAGAAGACCAUUGAGAUGGGAGCUGGAGCAAGAUGGGAGAAGAGAAAGAGAGAAAAAUAUGUCAGCAUUCUCCAUCAAUCUGCCAGCAAGUCUUUUCUCUAACAUAUUUCAGCAUGCCACUUUGCCUUUCACUGUGGACAGGUGCUGCCACAAUUGAUAUUGCUCCUACAUGACAUCAGACAGCUUUUCCUCCUUCGUCGGGCUGAGACUUCACAACUUCAAAAAAUCAGCAACUUCAAGUGUGUUGUUGCAGGCUUGAAAGUCAACAUUUCUCAAAUAUCCUUUUUGUUUCAUUCCUUGAAAUGAGGAGAAUAGACAUAGGAAAUACAUGAUGGUGUGGGCAUCAUUGACAAGUAAUGCAGCCAUCCCAAAUGUGGGUCAAUACACUGUAUAUACCAAGCCAGUAUUUUGUAUAUGCCACAUUUUUUACUAACAAGCUAUUUUAGGAAUGUUUUAAGGAGUGUUUAAAAGUUACAUUGGGACUAUUUUUUGUAUCUCUCUACCUUUAUAGCCAGGUGUCUUAGUUAUCAUGAAUCCAACUGUACAGGGUUCAGAGGGGAGAAAAAAUGAUUCCAUAUAGCUUAUCUGGCCAUAAAGCUGAGAGACAUUUUUCAAGUCUGAUAUUUUCCAUUGCUGAAGUGGGCUCUGAGAGAGUAUUCUGUAUCUCCUUGGGAAACUGGGAAUCUUCACUUUUCAAUGUCUAAAGCUCUCAUUUCUAACCUUGCAGGAUGACAAGAUAUUGAACUUUAAAGUCAUGACUACAGCUGGUCGGAAAGUGAGAUUUUUUUCCCCCCUCCAUAGAA